AGCAGCCGCCGCGGUAAUACGGAGGGGGCUAGCGUUGUUCGGAAUUACUGGGCGUAAAGCGCACGUAGGCGGCUUGGUAAGUUAGAGGUGAAAGCCCGGAGCUCAACUCCGGAAUUGCCUUUAAGACUGCCGAGCUAGCAGGUGAGAGAGGUAAGUGGAAUUCCGAGUGUAGAGGUGAAAUUCGUAGAUAUUCGGAAGAACACCAGUGGCGAAGGCGGCUUACUGGCUCAUACUGGACGCUGAGGUGCGAAAGCGUGGGGAGCAAACAGGAUUAGAUACCCGGGUAGUCCCUGUCUCUUAUAA
rnacentral:rRNA from 1 species